GACGAACGCUGGCGGCGUGCUUAACACAUGCAAGUCGAACGGAAAGGCCCUUCUUUUGUGGGGUGCUCGAGUGGCGAACGGGUGAGUAACACGUGAGUAACCUGCCCUUGACUUUGGGAUAACUUCAGGAAACUGGGGCUAAUACCGGAUAGGAGCUCCUGCUGCAUGGUGGGUGUUGGAAAGUUUCGGCGGUUGGGGAUGGACUCGCGGCUUAUCAGCUUGUUGGUGGGGUAGUGGCUUACCAAGGCUUUGACGGGUAGCCGGCCUGAGAGGGUGACCGGCCACACUGGGACUGAGAUACGGCCCAGACUCCUACGGGAGGCAGCAGUGGGGAAUAUUGCACAAUGGGCGGAAGCCUGAUGCAGCAACGCCGCGUGCGGGAUGACGGCCUUCGGGUUGUAAACCGCUUUCGCCAGGGAAGAAGCGAGAGUGACGGUAAUGGGUAAAGAAGCACCGGCUAACUACGUG
rnacentral:rRNA from 1 species